rnacentral:misc_RNA from 1 species
UCAGUUGCAGUCGGGCCUUUCUCUC